UACGAGGGGGGCGAGCGUUGUUCGGAAUUAUUGGGCGUAAAGGGUGCGUAGGCGGUUGGUAAGUCUUAUGUGAAAUCUAUGGGCUCAACUCAUAGUCUGCAUGAGAAACUGCCGGGCUUGAGUGUGGGAGAGGUGAGUGGAAUUUCCGGUGUAGCGGUGAAAUGCGUAGAUAUCGGAAGGAACACCUGUGGCGAAAGCGGCUCACUGGACCACAACUGACGCUGAUGCACGAAAGCGUGGGGAGCAAACAGG
rnacentral:rRNA from 1 species